UCGGGCAACCGAGUUGUAAUUUGGAGACGGGACACUAGAGAGGAGGAAGGCGAUUAAGUGCCUUGGAACAGGCUGCCGUAGAGGGUGAGAGCCCCGUGAAUCGCUGGAGACCGAUCAAUUAGUGCCCGCCGAAGAGUCGAGUUGUUUGGGAAUGCAGCUCUAAGUGGGUGGUAUAUUCCAUCUAAGGCUAAAUAUUAGCGAGAGACCGAUAGCAAACAAGUACAGUGAUGGAAAGAUGAAAAGAACUUUGGAAAGAGAGUGAAAUAGUACGUGAAAUUGUUGAAAGGGAAGGGUAUUUGAUCCGACAUGGUGUUUAGCAGCGGCCCGUUCCUCGUGGAUGGGUGCACCUGGUUUACACUGGGCCAGCAUCGGUUCUGGGAGCCAUAUACGGGGUUCGUGAAUGUGGCCCUUCGAUUCUGUCGGAGGGUGUUAUAGCGCGGACAUCUUGUGGCUAGC
rnacentral:rRNA from 1 species